UGGCGGACGGGUGAGUAACGCGUGAGCAACCUGCCCUUCGGAACGGGAUAGUGUCUGGAAACGGACAGUAAUACCGUAUAACGUAUUUUUACCGCAUGAUAGAAAUACCAAAACUGAGGUGCCGAAGGAUGGGCUCGCGUCUGAUUAGAUAGUUAGUGGGGUAACGGCCUACCAAGUCGACGAUCAGUAGCCGGACUGAGAGGUUGAACGGCCACAGUUGGGACUGAGACACCGGCCCAGACUCCUACGGGGAGGCAGCAUG
rnacentral:rRNA from 1 species